rnacentral:rRNA from 1 species
ACGAACGCUGGCGGCAGGCUUAACACAUGCAAGUCGAACGCCCCGCAAGGGGAGUGGCAGACGGGUGAGUAACGCGUGGGAAUCUACCCAGAUCUUCGGAACAACUGAGGGAAACUUCAGCUAAUACCGGAUACGCCCUACGGGGGAAAGAUUUAUCGGUUCUGGAUGAGCCCGCGUUGGAUUAGCUAGUUGGUGGGGUAAUGGCCUACCAAGGCGACGAUCCAUAGCUGGUCUGAGAGGAUGAUCAGCCACACUGGGACUGAGACACGGCCCAGACUCCUACGGGAGGCAGCAGUGGGGAAUAUUGGACAAUGGGCGAAAGCCUGAUCCAGCCAUGCCGCGUGAGUGAUGAAGGCCUUAGGGUUGUAAAGCUCUUUCAGUAGGGAAGAUAAUGACGGUACCUACAGAAGAAGCCCCGGCUAACUUCGU